rnacentral:rRNA from 1 species
UACGUAGGGGGCUAGAGUUGUCCGGAUUUACUGGGUGUAAAGGGUGCUCAGGUGGAUUUGUUAGUCAGAGGUGAAAUUCCAAAGCUUAACUUUGGAGCUGCCUUUGAUACUGCAAGUCUAGAGUUUGAGAGAGGGUAAUGGAAUAUCUGGUGUAGCAGUGAAAUGCGUAGAUAUCAGAUAGAACACCAAUGGCGAAGGCAGUUACCUGGCUCAAAACUGACGCUAAAGCACGAAAGUGUGGGGAGCAAACAGG